rnacentral:misc_RNA from 1 species
CCACUAAUCCAAUUGGCAUCUGGAAACAUCCGUUUCAACACUGCUCCAGCAGUUUUUUUACCAUUAACUGGAAGGGUGGCUGCAACAAAAAUGUACUGUUUACUGUGUAUGUAAUCUUUUCUCACUCUCCUCCAGUCUUUUCUGUUGAUGGACCCAGCUUCACUUUCCUCUUUUAAGUCCUCAACUUCAUUAUCACCUUCAAAGUCUUCAUCCUCUGCUAAGAUAGAUUCAUUUUGGGGUUCACCAUCUUCCAAGCCACACUCUCCUGGAGAAUCAGAACCUAAUUCUGCAGUAUUUUCAAGUUUACAUUUACUUACUUGAGACAACUGCUUCUCAUCAAAACGAAGCAUGUUUAUGAGACGGAUAACCUGAUUCUGGAAGCUCCCACAGAGAAGCAUGUCUGCUUCAUCGAACACCACAUAUUUCACACCACGAACAAAAUUCAAUUUUCGCUGUUUUUUUGGGUCAAUAUUAUUAAGAAGAGCAGCUGGUGUUGACACAAUAAUGUCUGGUUGAUUAACUGGCCAUCCCUGUCGGCCACAGACAGCCGUGACUUUGAGAAGUGGUUCACCAUUAUCAUCACAAAGACCACAAGCCAUUCGAACCACUUGUUCACACAACAACACAUUUGGACAAAGAACUAGAGAAAUUCUAUGGGAAGGCAUCAAUCCUUGAUCAGAAUCAUAAUCUUUGAGAUGAUCCGGUGGAUUACAUAACUUGUCAAUUAAGGGAACAAGGUAUGCAUGCGUUUUACCACUACCAGUCUCCGCUGCUACUACCACAUCCUUU